rnacentral:lncRNA from 1 species
GGUCUGGGGCCUGAACUUCUGGGUCUGAGGGCUGGAGCGGCUGGGGACGUGGACUUCUGGGUUUUUUGAAAUAACGUGGCUCACCAAUGAGGGUGAUCUGGUCACCGCCAGCACCCAGCGCCCCACUGCACAGCACGGAGUAAUUUCCCAGGUCCCAAUCCAGGCUGAAGUUGCCGAUGUGGAGUUUCCGCCCAUCUUGACUGAGCCGUAGGCGACUCCCGCCUCCUGGAGCCAGGGGCCUCCCUUCCCGGGCCCAGGAUGCCCGUGAGGGUGGGGGACAACCAGAGGCCUCCAGUGCCACCUCUGCCUCCCCCAACCGUGUCUCUGCCACCAGCGGAUGCAGCAGCACCUCUCGGGGGGCCUCUGCCGGUGGGAGAAGUCCAGUUAAGAAAGUCAAGACCUUACCUUGGAUUCAAAGAACAGAUCCUAUGCCCUACUUUAAAUCAGAUGGUGUUUGAAGACAGUGAAGUCCUGCCUCUUUCUUGGACUAAGGACGUACCCCAUACCCCUUCAGAAUUUUCGAAGGACCAAAGAAAAAGUCUCCCUCCUCCUCGAGAAACAGCAAAAAAGCCCCGCGCCCUCUCACCCGGCGUGACUGUGCAGCUCCACCCACUUCUGCCAGGUUACUUCGCCCCCUCCUGGAUUGCACUCCGAGAAGCCUCCCCUUUUCCCAGGGACCCCACAGCACCGUGACCUGCCCAAAGCCUGGCAGAGCAGAGCAGCCCCUGCCGCCUGCACGCCGGACGCCAGGACCCACUUACCAUACACACCCACCGUGAACUCGUGAGUCUGCUGGGAGACCCCUGCCCGGAUGACCUCAGCCGUGUAGACCCCUGCAUCGUCCAGCUGGGCAGAGGCGAGCUCCAGAACCCCCCGGGCCUGGUCAAAUCGCAGGUGGUCUCGGUGAGCAGGGUCCAGGCUGAUCAGAGGUGCCCCUGGCCCCAGGCCCCCAGCUGCCAGCACCUUUGAGCCCCGGCGCCAGACCACCAGAGAGGUGGGGGGCCCAGGGUUGGGGAUUGGGACUAGGGGGAGCCGGAUGGUGGUCCCCACCAGCACAGCGAGUGGGCCCCCCACCUGCUGGGGAAAGCUUGCAGCUGAGUGGGUCUCUGCAGAAAAUUUGGAUUCAGGGCUCUGGGCAGAGAGUUUAAGAUCCAUAUCAUCCGGGGAGAAUUUUGAAUCU